rnacentral:rRNA from 1 species
GACGUAGGGGGCCAGCGUUGUUCGGAAUUACUGGGUGUAAAGGGUUCGUAGGCGGUGUGGCAAGUCGGGAGUGAAAUCUCUGGGCUCAACCCAGAGUCUGCUUCCGAAACUGCUGUGCUUGAGUGUGGGAGAGGCGCGUGGAAUUGCAGGUGUAGCGGUGAAAUACGUAGAUAUCUGGAGGAAUACCGGUGGCGAAGGCGGCUACCUGGCCCAACAUUGACACUGAGACCCGAAAGCGUGGGGAUCAAACAGG